AUGGCUGUUUUAAAUGUCUUGAAGAAUCUUAAAGAAGUUCCAUCAGUUCAGGACCUCUUUAGGGGACACUUCAUUAAGAAGGGGACAGCUGUGUAUCCUUUCCUGUUUUCUGUUCUGUCUGAUGAGAGUAAAUGGGAGACUUUUUAUCCGGAACACUUCCUGGACAAAGAUGAAAAGUUUAUCCAGCGUGAUGCCUUCAUGGUUUUUUCUGCAGGUCGCAGGGUUUGUCCCGGAGCAAGGCUGGCCAGGAUGGAACUCUUCAUCUUCUUCACCACCCUUCUGCAGCACUUCCGAAUUGCUCUGCCAUCUGGGGUUUCAGAUGAUGAACUGCUUCUAUCACCAUCUGAUAGUCUCAUCCUUAACCCUUCAAAUGUUAAACUGUGUGCUGUCCACUUGUGA